rnacentral:rRNA from 1 species
GAUGAACGCUGGCGGCGUGCCUAAUACAUGCAAGUCGAGCGAACGGACGAGAAGCUUGCUUUUCUGAUGUUAGCGGCGGACGGGUGAGUAACACGUGGAUAACCUACCUAUAAGACUGGGAUAACUUCGGGAAACCGGAGCUAAUACCGGAUAAUAUUUUGAACCGCAUGGUUCAAAAGUGAAAGACGGUCUUGCUGUCACUUAUAGAUGGAUCCGCGCUGCAUUAGCUAGUUGGUAAGGUAACGGCUUACCAAGGCAACGAUGCAUAGCCGACCUGAGAGGAUGAUCAGCCACACUGGAACUGAGACACGGUCCAGACUCCUACGGGAGGCAGCAGUAGGGAAUCUUCCGCAAUGGGCGAAAGCCUGACGGAGCAACGCCGCGUGAGUGAUGAAGGUCUUCGGAUCGUAAAACUCUGUUAUUAGGGAAGAACAGAUGUGUAAGUAACUGUGGACAUCUUGACGGUACCUAAACAGAAAGCCCCGGCUAACUACGUG